GACGUAGGGUGCAAGCGUUGUCCGGAAUUAUUGGGCGUAAAGAGCUCGUAGGCGGCUUGUCGCGUCUGCUGUGAAAACUGGAGGCUCAACCUCCAGCCUGCAGUGGGUACGGGCAAGCUAGAGUGCGGUAGGGGAGAUUGGAAUUCCUGGUGUAGCGGUGGAAUGCGCAGAUAUCAGGAGGAACACCGAUGGCGAAGGCAGAUCUCUGGGCCGUUACUGACGCUGAGGAGCGAAAGCAUGGGGAGCGAACAGG
rnacentral:rRNA from 1 species